UUUUUCUUUUUAGGUCGUGAAGCUCCAAUCUUCACCCUACAGCCUGAACCUCACAGCAGAGAGGAGUUUUUACAAUACUUCUGUCCACUCACUCUGGACAUCAACACGACUCACAGAGACCUCCGUCUGUCUAAAAGGAACAAGAAGGUGACCAAGGUGAAGAAAGACCAAACAUCCUGAUCAUCCUGACAGAUUUCACCACUAUGUCCAAGUUCUGUGCAGAGAGGCUCUGACUGGGACUCGCUCUUACUGGGAGGUGGAGUGCACUGGAGACUUCAUAGUGAUAGGAGUCGCAUAUAAAGGACUGGGAAGGAAAGGAAAGGGUAUGGAGUACUGCCUUGGAGACAAUGAGAAAUCCUGGAGUUUGUUGUGUUUUAAUUCCAAAUACUCAGUGCAUCACAAUAACAAGCAGACUGUAAUCAGCGCCCCCUACAGCCCUAGAAUAGGUGUGUAUCUGGACUGGCCUGCUGGCUCGCUGUCAUUUUAUAGCGUCUUACACACAAUGACCCUCCUGCACAGGUUCAACACCUCCUUCACUGAGCCCCUCUAUCCAGGGUUAGGGCUCGUUUGGGACUCCGGUGUUACAAUCUGCCAUCUGACACCAGGUGACCACUGACGUAUAACAGUAGACUAGCUCCUCCUACUGGGCACAGAAGCUCAGGUCUUAACAAAUAGACAUUGUCUCAAAGCAGCUUUACAGAGGAACACAAAUAUCUGUACAUAUGUUAUAUAAGUAUAUAUUUUCCCCAAUGAGCAAGCCUGUGGCGAUGGUGGCAAGGAAAAACUCCCAGAAAUGACAAAAGGAAGAAACCUUGAGAGGAACCAGACUCAAAAGGGAACCCGUUCUCAUCUGGGUGACACUGGAGAUGUGUGUUUACAACAGCUCUAGAAAUGUGUGUUAUAUGGGCAGACAUAAAACAGUCUGGUUACUAGUACAGGACUUUCUAAAAGGUGAUCUAAGUCCAUAGUCACUGUGAAAAAAACUGCAGCAGUCAGCUCAGCAGCCCACGCCAUCUUUAACAGGAACGAGUGAAUAUCAGGAGAUGAGCUGGAAGCCAGAGGAAGGACAUCGGGAUGGGUCUGGUCAGGCCUGGAUUGUAGAUCAGGACAGGAUCACUGGUACCUCAGGAAUAGCUCAGCAGAGAGAGAGAGCGAGAGAGUGAGAGAGAAGAAAAGAAAAGAGAAGGACAGAAUGAUUAGGUACGUUCAUGUCAUAAACUGGUUGCUUUCAAUUUAUGGCGUGCGCUGAGUGCAAGCAGGGACUCCGGCAAGACUAGCUAUGACAGCAUAACUAAAAGGGAGAACCAGAAGGUAACACAGACAUGAGGGAUCCCUACGACGUAAGGCACCCGCCACUUCACCGUCACAAACCUGAGUGAACUCACAAGAGUGGAAGAGCGACAGCGUCCAAACAUCUCAGUUUACCAAAACACUCAAUGCCUGAGAACCCACCAGAUCUGCUCCUUUACCUAAUACAGCUGUUAACAAAAGGCUUGGUUAAAUAGGUGAGUCUUCAGCCUAGACUUAAACACUGAGACUGUGUCUGAAUCCUGAACACUGACUGGAAGGCUGCUCCAUAGAUCUGGGGCUCUAUAAGAGAAAAAUAUGCUCCCUGCAGUGACCUUUACUAUUCGAGGUACCAUCAAGUAGCCAGCACCUGUGGAUCUAAGUAGGCGUGGGGGAUCAUAAGAGACCAGAAGCUCACUCAAGUACUGUGGUGCCCGACCAUUUAGUGCUUUAUAGGUCAGCAGUAGUAUUUUAUAAUUUAUGCGAAAUUUGAUUGGGAGCCAUUGUAGUGUAGAUAAGAUAGGGGUGAUGUGCUCGUAUUGUCUUGUUCUAGUAAGGACUAGCUGGAGUUUGUUUAUGAUCCUAUUUGAACAUCCAGACAGUAAGGCAUUACAAUAAUCUAACCUAAAGGUAACAAAGGCAUGAACCAAUUUUUCUGCAUCCUGCAGUGACAUCAUACUCCUGAUCUUAGCAAUAUUUCUGAGAUGGAAAAAUGCGGUUCUAGUCAUAUUAUCUUCAUGAGCUUCAAAUGAGAGACUGGAGUCAACAACCACACCAAGGUCUUUUACUUCUGCACAAUUUGAAACAGAAAGACCAUCAAUAGUUACUAUGAAAGAGUUCCGAUCUUCGUGGCUACUCUGUGCUGAGUUUGUGCCGAGUUGUGGGAUGAUUGACAAGCAGCAGGGUGCAACAGCGUGCAGCGAUUGGUCGAGGCGCUCUUCUGCCGAGUAUUUUGUAAACUUUAAUUGGCUGGGAAAGAGAAGCGUUCCAAGUUUUGCUGGAAAAGACCUGCCUCCCCGUCUAAAAGCGGCGAUGUCAUGUUUCAAGUUUCAAAUUUCAUCGUAAAGUGGGGCCCGCUGAUACUAUUAAAAUGGUGCUAUUGAUGUUACUCUUAGUCCACAAGGAUUAUUGUGAAGUGAAAUAAAGCAGAUGUAGUUUAAUGUAA